AUUGAACGCUGGCGGCAGGCCUAACCCAUGCAAGUCGAGCGAUCGGCGGACGGGUGAGUAAUGUCUGGGAAACUGCCUGAUGGAGGGGGAUAACUACUGGAAACGGUAGCUAAUACCGCAUACCAUCAGAUGUGCCCAGAUGGGAUUAUCUAGUAGGUGGGGUAAUGCCUCACCUAGUCGACGAUCCCUAGCUGGUCUGAGAGGAUGACCAGCCACACUGGAACUGAUACACGGUCCAGACGCCUACGGGAGGCAGCAGGGGGGAAUAUUGAACAAUGGGAGCAAGCCUGAUGCAGCCAUUCCGCGUGUGUUAAGAAGGACUUCGUGUUUUAAAGCACUUUCAGCGGGGAGGCGUUACCCGCAGAAGAAGCACCGGCUAACUCCGGGCCAGCAGCCGCGGUAAUUC
rnacentral:rRNA from 1 species